rnacentral:misc_RNA from 1 species
GAAAAGCAGAAGUACUGAAAAGAGUUUUAAGUUACACGGCGUCUAAACUAUACACCAAGGGAAGAAGCAACUGUACUUUUAGGUUCUACAUGAUUAUAGGAUGCCAAAUACAAUCACAAAUUGUUCAAUGACAGUAAACAACUGAAAAACAUCGAAAUCAAUCCUACGAAAUUGCAAAUUAGAUGCACUUGAACAUGCCAAAAUGAAAGACCAAGCUACAAAUACUCGCAAAGUCAGCUUCUUGUUUUCAUCCAACGAAUGUUACACCCACAAAUUUCAGAUCACCCACAGGCGAAAUCACUUGGCAACCAUCCUGGCAAUGAAUUCCUCGUACUUAAUCUUUCCAUCUGAUCCAACAUCAACCUCUCGGAUCCACUCAUCAAACUCCGAAGCCUCGAGCUUUUCACCUAUACUGGUGAGGAUAUGCUUGAGAUCCGCAACAACAACAUAACCGGUAGAAUCCUUAUCGAGGACCUUAAAGGCAUCACGGAGCUGGCGAUCAAAGGGCUCAGGCUUGAGGUGUUUGGACAUAAGCUCAAGGAAACGGUUGAAAUCGAAGGGCGCAUUGAGUUUCUCCUCGGCGAUUAUGGAUUUGAGUUGAGCUUGGGUAGGGUUGCCGCCGAGUGAACGCAUAAGGAUACCUAGCUCCGAUGGGGCGAUCUUACCGUCACCGUCGGUAUCGAAGAGAGUGAAGGCCUCCUUCAUGGAGGAUAUUU